rnacentral:other from 1 species
CUGCGGCCAAAGCUCCCGAUCCAGAGGCCGGCCUCGUAAAGUCCCGAGCGAGUAGGGGGCGGCGCGCAGGAAGGGAGGAGGGCCGGGGGCGUGCGGGGUUGGUGGGUGUUCGGGGGUGGAGAUGUACAAGAUGUGACGCCGCGGCCGGGCCGGGGCCAGAGCGGCGGACGCGGUGCCCGCGGUUGCAGCCGGAACCCGGGCGCUGUAGCUUGGAGAGGCGGCCCUCCGGAGAGCGGCGGCCGCGAAGACACCCAGCCCUAAGCCCCGGCUCCCGAGCGCCGCGGCGCACCGCGCUCCAGGGCAGACGCGGAGGGGAGCGGCCGAGAGGCGCGACGCUGGGGCCCGCGGGCGCGGUCGCGCGCCGCCGGGCGGGAGGCUGGGGGGCCGGGGCCGGGGCCGUGCCCCGGACCGGGUCGGGGGCCGGGGCCGGAGGACGGCGGCUCCCCGCGCGGCUCCUGGGGCGCGGGCACCCCGGCAGGGCCCCGGGGGGGCCAUG